GGGCCCGCACAAGCGGCGGAGCAUGUGGCUCAAUUCGAUGCAACGCGAAGAACCUUACCUGGGCUGAACUAUGCGGGAAAAGCCGUAGAAAUACGGUGUCCUUCGGGGCCCGUGAUAGGUGGUGCA
rnacentral:rRNA from 1 species